rnacentral:misc_RNA from 1 species
UCCCUGUUACCAGGGCUGUCUCCUAUGAACAUUUAACAUAGGACGAGGGUUUCGUUCGUUCAAGGACUUAACCUCACAGCUCACGCCACGAACUGACGACGACCGUGCAGUACCUGUCUUUGGGCUCCUUGCGGCACCUUCUCGUUUCUGAGAAGUUCCCAAGAUGUCAAGCCCUGGAUAAGGUUCCUCGCUUGUUGUCGAAUUAAACCACAUGCUCCACCACUUGUGCGAGCCCCCGCCAAUUCCUUUGAGUUUUAAUCUUGCGAUCGUACUUCCCAGGCGGUCAACUUGACGCGUUAGCUUCGCAACAGAGAGGGUCGACUCUCCCUAUUGCUAGUUGACAAAGUUUACGGCGUGGACUAC